GUGGGGAAUAUUGGACAAUGGGCGAAAGCCUGAUCCAGCCAUGCCGCGUGUGUGAAGAAGGUCUUCGGAUUGUAAAGCACUUUAAGUUGGGAGGAAGGGUUGUACGUUAAUACCGUGCAAUUUUGACGUUACCGACAGAAUAAGCACCGGCUAACUUCGUGCCAGCAGCCGCGGUAAUACGAAGGGUGCAAGCGUUAAUCGGAAUUACUGGGCGUAAAGCGCGCGUAGGUGGUUCAGUAAGUUGGAAGUGAAAUCCCCGGGCUCAACCUGGGAACUGCUUUCAAAACUGCUGAGCUAGAGUACGGUAGAGGGUAGUGGAAUUUCCUGUGUAGCGGUGAAAUGCGUAGAUAUAGGAAGGAACACCAGUGGCGAAGGCGACUACCUGGACUGAUACUGACACUGAGGUGCGAAAGCGUGGGGAGCAAACAGGAUUAGAAACCCCAGUAGUCC
rnacentral:rRNA from 1 species